UACGUAGGGUGCAAGCGUUGUCCGGAAUUAUUGGGCGUAAAGAGCUCGUAGGCGGUUUGUUGCGUCGGCUGUGAAAUCCCGAGGCUCAACCUCGGGUCUGCAGUCGAUACGAGCAAACUAGAGUGUUGCAGGGGAGACUGGAAUUCCCGGUGUAGCGGUGAAAUGCGCAGAUAUCGGGAGGAACACCAGCGGCGAAGGCGGCACUCUGGGCUGGUACUGACGCUGAGGAGCGAAAGCGUGGGGAGCAAACAGG
rnacentral:rRNA from 1 species